GUAGUAUUCCCUCCGUCCCAAAAUUCUUGUCUUACAUUUGUUUAGAUACAAAUGUAUCUAACACUAAAAUGUAACUAGAUACAUCCGUAUUUAGACAAAUUUAAGACAAGAAUUUUGGGACGGAGGGAGUACAAA
rnacentral:pre_miRNA from 1 species